rnacentral:rRNA from 1 species
CUCGUAGGCGGUUCGUCGCGUCCGGUGUGAAAGUCCAUCGCUUAACGGUGGAUCCGCGCCGGGUACGGGCGGGCUUGAGUGCGGUAGGGGAGACUGGAAUUCCCGGUGUAACGGUGGAAUGUGUAGAUAUCGGGAAGAACACCAAUGGCGAAGGCAGGUCUCUGGGCCGUUACUGACGCUGAGGAGCGAAAGCGCGGGGAGCGAACA